CCUACGGGAGGCAGCAGUGAGGAAUAUUGGUCAAUGGGCGCGAGCCUGAACCAGCCAAGUAGCGUGAAGGAUGACUGCCCUACGGGUUGUAAACUUCUUUUAUAAAGGAAUAAAGUGAGGCACGUGUGCCUUUUUGUAUGUACUUUACGAAUAAGGAUCGGCUAAGUCAGUGCCAGCAGCCGCGGUAAUACGGAGGAUCCGAGCGUUAUCCGGAUUUAUUGGGUUUAAAGGGAGCGUAGAUGGGUUGUUAAGUCAGUUGUGAAAGUUUGCGGCUCAACCGUAAAAUUGCAAUUGAUACUGGCAGCCUUGAGUACAGUAGAGGUAGGCGGAAUUCGUGGUGUAGCGGUGAAAUGCGUAGAUAUCACGAAGAACUCCGAUUGCGAAGGCAGCUUACUAGACUGCCACUGACGUUGAUGCUCGAAAGUGUGGGUAUCAAACAGGAUUAGAUACCCCUGUAGUC
rnacentral:rRNA from 1 species